GAUCCCUUGCAGUAAUUUCUUGGAAAUAAUACAUCGCUUGUAAGAGCCCUGUAUGGGGCUGCACUUAUUAGAUUGAAGCCGAUUUUAUUGGUGAAUCAUGAUAAUUGAGCAGAUUGACUUUUUUGGUCGAUGAAUCGUUUGAGUUUCUGCCCCAUCAGUUGGCGACGGUAGGGGAUUGGACUACGGGGACUAUAACGGGGGACGGAAAAUUAGGGGUCCACCCMCGGAGAGGGAGCCUGAGAGACGGCUACCAUAUCCAAGGAUAGCAGCAGGCGCGUAAAUUACCCACUGUGGACUCCACGAGGUAGUGACGAGAAAUAUCGAUGCGAAGCGUGUAUGCGUUUUGCUAUCGGAAUGAGAGCAAUGUAAAACCCUCAUCGAGGAUCAACUGGAGGGCAAGUCUGGUGCCAGCAGCCGCGGUAAUUCCAGCUCCAGAAGCAUAUGCUAAAGUUGUUGCAGUUAAAAAGCUCGUAGUUGAAUUUCUGGCAUGGGCGACCGGUGCUUUCCCUGAAUGGGGAUUGAUUGUCUGUGUUGCCUUGGCCAUCUUUUUCUUKUYUUUAUUGGKGAGARAUCUUUCACUGUAAUCAAAGCAGAGUGUUCCAAGCAGGUCGUAUGACCGGUAUGUUUAUUAUGGGAUGAUAAGAUAGGACUUGGGUGCUAUUUUGUUGGUUUGCACGCCUGAGUAAUGGUUAAUAGGAACAGUUGGGGGUAUUCGUAUUUAGGAGCUAGAGGUGAAAUUCUUGGAUUUCCGAAAGACGAACUAGAGCGAAGGCAUUUACCAAGCAUGUUUUCAUUAAUCAAGAACGAAAGUCUGGGGAUCGAAGAUGAUA
rnacentral:rRNA from 1 species